rnacentral:rRNA from 1 species
UACGAAGGGGGCUAGCGUUGCUCGGAAUUACUGGGCGUAAAGGGCGCGUAGGCGGAUAGUUUAGUCAGAGGUGAAAGCCCAGGGCUCAACCUUGGAAUUGCCUUUGAUACUGGCUAUCUUGAGUUCGGGAGAGGUGAGUGGAAUGCCGAGUGUAGAGGUGAAAUUCGUAGAUAUUUGGCGGAACACCAGUGGCGAAGGCGACUCACUGGCCCGAUACUGACGCUGAGGCGCGAAAGCGUGGGGAGCAAACAGG